GUACUUCCUGUGGCAGCACAUAUACAACAUUGGAAACAAUACAGAAAAGAGUAUCAGGACCCCUUUGCAAGGGUGGCAAACAGAUUCACGAGAUAUUUCGUAUCCAA